CGGAUGUAGCCAAGUGGAUCAAGGCGGUGG
rnacentral:tRNA from 1 species